rnacentral:lncRNA from 1 species
CCCUAAAGUGCUGAUUCAAUCUCUCUCAAAGUGUUUUCCCUUCAAAUUAGUGUUUGUCUGCUUAUAUUCUGUGCUUGUCUUACCUUGGGGAUGAUUUCUUAAAACAAAUUAUGAGGCACAUUCUGGCAAUAAGAAAUUUCCUAAAUGUGAUGUUUAACAUUGGUGCCUAGAAAUCAUAAGUUCAAUUGACUGUAUUUUGUUAUUUUUUUUCUUUUGAAUGGGGAAAGGGUAGAAGAAUCUGUUUUCUUCACAGAUGAAAUUUUCCAUUAAAGGAAGCUAUUAUAUUUCCAUAUCAGUACACUUAUUUUAUACUCAACCUCUCUAGGGAUGACAGCCUGUUCAGCAGGAAAGCCCUAAAGGUCAUCCAAUGACUAGAUUGAUACAUUUCACGGAAAAAUUGAGACUAACUUUCUUACUGUGAAAUAUAGAAACCUGAGUCAUCAUUACCAUAAACUCAUAGCAGAUCUAUAGUUACCUUUGAAAUAAAAGGGGAUUACAGGACAUUCUUGUUUUGAUGGUGGGCUCCAGUUUCUCAUCCUCAAAAAUUUGGUUCUCAUAUUAAAAUACUAUUAAUACAAAAAUUAUGCCAUAUGAAGUGAGUAUCCAAAGAUUUCUAAAUAAAACAUGUACUGAAAUUAGUAAAAAUUUCUCAUAGUGUUAUAUGGGAUUAACGGCGAUUUCACAAAUGGGAAUACCUUUUUAAUUCUUUCUACUUAUUUACCUAUUUAUUUGGAAGUACAGUAUUACAAACUAGGGAGCGGCUAAGACUGGCUAAGCAAUCAUGCUGGAAAUUAUUGCAUAGCUCAGCAAAAUAUCCUAAAAAUAAAAAUAUGCCUUACUUUUAUGUCCAGGAACUUUUUAUUAUUUCUGACUUAGAAAAUGUUAUUUCUAAAUUUUUAAUGCUAGUUAUACUUCUUUCUUUUGGUCACCAUAAGGCUUUCUAGCACUUUCCUCAAAGGAAGGGAAAUUAAAUAAAUGGGUAUAACUCAGUCCACUUUGGUGACAGCUUGUUUGUGAGCUCGAGUUUGGAGACAGAAUAAAUUGGACUAUUUGCUAAAAUGGGGUUUUAGGAUUAUUCAAGAGGAAACAAUUUCAUGUAUGGCUUUUCACUCUGGUUAGUCUUUGAUUGUAGAUCCUACAUUUAUUACUGUGUAGUCAGUAUGCUUACAACUGGGCAUCCCAAUGGCUAGGAGAUAAUGUGAGUCUCUGGACAAACACUCCUGCUGAGCCAGAAAUGCUGUCAGAAUUUCCUCAAAGAAUGAUCUCAGUGUUUGUCUUUAUUCUGAUUUCAAUCACACGGUGAUUUGUCAGGGCUUUAUAAAUGCAAUUUAAUCCUGUUCAAUUUCCAAGGAGGGGUGAACAUGCAACAAAAUGAAUUAACUAGGCCAAUCAUAAUCAAACACUGCAGAAAGCCAGGCAGAACCCACCAUAUGCCAAGGGUGUAUAGAUCUCAUCCUGCCUGGGAAAACUUGACACUCCGCCUGGUGCAGGGAUUGGGAGGGUAACUGAGGGAGGUAAGGAGGUAGGAUAUCCCUUAGGGAAGGAGCAUCACUCCUCUCAGGAGAUCUGUUCCUAUGACUUUCAACAAAGCACCACCGAAUUGUCAUUGUAUUUUGUGAGUAGCUAAAUUCUUCUGGGAAUUAAGGAAAAAAUUUGAAGUUGCCAUGAAGGUAGCCUCUUCCCAAUUACACCUUAGCUAAAGGUAGCACUCUGAUUCUCUGAGGAUAAUUGGUCCAUCUAAUAAAAUCACAUUGAAUCUGGAGCAAUCCUGAGUGUUUUCUAAGCUCAAGCUAAGAAAUGCUGCUUUCAAGGGGCAGCAGUACAGCAUUAAGAACAUGGUAUGGCCCUGCGGGCUGGUUUUACUACUGAUUACUUAUGUGACCUUGGGUGAGUGACUUAACUUCAAUGAGCUUUUGUUUUUUUUUUUUUUCAUUUGUAAAAUGCAGAUAAUACCCUCAUGGUGUUGAUGUUGAAAUUAAGGGAGACAAUGAAAGUAAAGUGCUUAGUACACUGCAUGGCAUGUGGUAAAUGCUCCAUAAACAUUCAUGUUAUUGUUUUCAGUAUAAGCAGUCAAAAAUACCAAAAUUUUUCUUCAUGCAACAAAUAUUUAUUGUGCGUUUACUAUAUGCCAAACUUGCCAAAUACUGGAGAAUAUUUGAAAAAUACCUUAUUCAGUGACCAAAGUAAGAAUCUGCAUCUCUGUUGUUGGCUGUAGAUGGCAAUUUCUGCUUCCUGGCCUUACUUCUUUAAAGAAAAAAAUUUCCCAUGCAUUAGUCACUUAGAUCAACCCAUUGCCACAUUUUUUUAGUGUUGAAAGCUAAUAUAUUUUAGUAAUGCUUCAAUGAACUGUGGUAGCAACAAAUAAAGAAAUUGACUUCUGUCCCAAAAUAUGGGGAGUAGAGUUGUAAUCAGGAUUACAAAAAAAAAGGGGCCAGUAUUACAAGCUGCUAAAAUGCUUUUGCGUGGAUUAUUGUUUUAUUUGGACCCCCUCCACCCUUUAAAUCUGAUACAUGCUAAGAUUUUCAUGGGCACAGCCACCUCCUAAUAUGUGGUUUUGCUUCUCUGCAAGCAUGGAAUCCCCUCUGCAGUUAUGUUUGCCUGUGCAUCUCCGGCAGCUGGAGGACGAAUCACAUCAGGCUGAUGAGUGUGUCACGCUCUUCAUCCCCCAAGAGCUGUGAUGAAGACCAAGACAAACAGUAGAUUAACAGUGCUACCUUUUAUAAGGCUGAUUAGUUCCUAAAAUAUGCUGAAAGGAAACAAAACCAAAAAGAAAAAAGAGUGGAAAGGGGGGUGAGACAGAAACCUUUGUCGAGUCUCAUUCCAUCACCCAGGCUGGAGUGCAGCGGCGUG